rnacentral:lncRNA from 1 species
AGACCCCAAGCGAGCGGCUCGGCUGUGCGCGGCCAAGAAUUACCCCACAGCCGACGGCUGUCAGUCGCAGCCUGUCACCGAUUGCUCCCAUAAACCGCGCAAUCUCGCCGGAUUUGGAUCUCGCCCUUCGGUUCAAGGACUGUCUUAGCGUGCGCUUAAUAAUCGUCAUAAAAAUCUCCGGUGCCGUCGCACUUGGAAUACCGUGCGCCGUUUUGGUGACCCCAUUUCACUCUCACGCCACUGCACGGGUGUAGUAGCCAAGCAGAUGUCCCCCUAAAUCAAGUAAAUAAGUAAAAAUACUUAACUAACUCACCAAACCCGUCGUAGGUAGGUCGAUUCUGCCCCCCCCCAUGUAAAUCCUGCCCCUUCCCACCUAAAUCCUGACUACGCUAUGCCCACGUGCUGAAGAGCUGGAAAGGGUACAGGAAAGACCAAGCAAAAUGACCAGGGGAUUGGAGCAACUCCCACAAGAGUUUGUGGGCUUUGGGGUAUAGAACAGUUGCCAAGAAAUUGUGGGAAAUCAUGUUUGCCACCUUGGAGGGAUAGGUGUGAUAUAAAUGUAAUAAAUAAAGGCUGUGUGGAUGCUUCCUGGCACUCAGGUCCUUUGCUGACGCUGUAACUAUAGAAAUAACUGGGCAACAGCAACAAUUGUCUUAUGCCCUGCUCAAAGGCAUCUGGUUGGCCACCUUAUGUUACUAUGUGUGUUACUAUUUUCUUUCGGAGCUCAGGUGGCGUAUAUGAAGUUUCUUGUUUGUCUGGCAAAUAGCGAUAAAUCCCAAAUCAUUCUGUCAAAGCCAGAUUCGAAGCCAAGUAAACGACAGCCCAUAUUUGAAUCUUCGAAAUCUCUUUUAUUCUUUCUCAACAAAAGUGAGGGGAAGGCUGGAGGGAAACAAGGAGCAAGCAAAUCCAUGCUUUUCUCAUUCUUCGCCCGAUCAUUUUGAUGGUGAAAACAAAAGGCUGAUGGAAGGGUGUGAGCAGGUAAUGAAGCCCCUCCCACAUUGUUUUACACACAGCCUCAAGAGCUCACCUGCCAGAAACCUCACUCACACCUCAAUUUAUUUACUGACCCAUGCUGCCUACACAGGAUCACACCCUUGCUGUAUUCUGUGCUCAUUAAUUGAUGUAGAAUGACUUCUCUCUCUGCAAAGAGAGAUGAGCAUCACCUUGGUCCUCCCUAAACAUUCAGCUACAGGGUUCUGAAAAAAGCAUAUCUUUGUCAUACUUUAAUUGCCCGUGUUAUGAGUCAAAUAAAAGGUGUUGAAAAAUAAGUAACUUAAGCUAAUGCAUCUUCAAUGCUUGCUUUCUUUGUCAUUUUUAAGCUUUUCAGUGAAUCAAGUCUCUUACUGCUUGGAGACUCUUGAGAGCUUUGGUGCAUCUCAUUUUAAAAUUUACAUUUGUCAUAUUUCUAGAAGUGAAAUUCAAGACACAAAAGCUGUUGAGCUUUUUUGACAUAUGGCAAGCCUAACAUAUUUAUUCUCCCCUGCCUCCUUGAAUAUAUCAGGAUUGGGGCUGGAUUGGGAGUUUCAUAGCAACUCUGAGGAAGUGUUUCAUUGAGGCUGCAGCAGGCAAAGAGGGAGACUCCUUUGCACCCACAGCCCCAAUCCCAAUUCUCCUUAUUGUGGCUGAUAUUUAGAUAACCAGGUGGCAGUCAGACUGUUAAGGUCACAUCCGCAUGGGCCCCAAGACCUCAAGCCUCUCAGAUCCUUUGCUAAUGGAUCAACAAAGCCAGCUAUGCCAUAGCAGAUUGUGAGGAAGAGAAGUACCAUAGUUUUCUGUGUAUAACACGCUCCCGUGUAUAAGACGCCCCCUAUUUUUGGGGACUCAAAAUUAAGAAAAUGGGGGGAGAUUGCCCCCGUGUAUAAGACUACCCCCCCUUUUAACAUUAUUUCUUAGUAAAAAAAACCCUAGUCUUAUACACAGAAAAGUACAGUAAUUCCUCUGUUUCUGUAAAACAACAAGGGAAACAUCCUGUUUUUCAGUAACAUUGUGGUUGUGAAAACCAAUUGGCAUUAUGUGUACAGUGGCAUCUCGGGUUACAUACGCUUCAGGUUACAUAUGCUUCAGGUUACAGACUCCGCUAACCCAGAAAUAUUACCUCGGGUUAAGAACUUUGCUUCAGGAUGAGAAUAGAAAUCGUGCAGCAGUGGUGCGGCGGCAGCAGGAGGCCCCAUUAGCUAAAGUGGUGCUUCAGGUUAAGAACAGUUUCAGGUUAAGAACGGACCUCCAGAAUGAAUUAAGUUCUUAACCCGAGGUACCACUGUAUGUGUGUGUGUAUCUCUGUAUGCGCACAUAUAUAAUCAUAGAAAAUAAUUCUUUUCUUUCUUUGGAAUGGUGAGAGAGACUUUUUUUUUAAGUGUGGUUGUUGAAACCAACCAACAUAAAUUAGCCUGAGUACUAGCCAGACUUUACAGUAUAUACCUGUGUAUUUUUUAUAUUUAAAAAGAUAGAUUACCUAUUAAUAUGCUGAUGAAUAAUUGCCCCCUACCCUUCAACUUUGUGGGCUUCCUUGUAUUUCAAAAAGUGGAAGCAUCUUGGGUAAUGUUCAUUUCUAUCAAACUGUUUAAGACUGACUCUAACCAGAUGCCACUGGAAAACACAGGAGAAAGCCUGUUUGGUUGACACCCCCUUGCCCAGAUUCCAGACAGAAGAGGCUUGUGUGCAAACAGAUAAGAUGGGAGAAGUGUUGCUGACAAGUUGAACCCCUGACCCCAGGCUUAGAACGACAAAGCAAGGUUUAGGUUCACCCAGGGCACUGGUGGCUUCCAACGGCUGUCUUGAUAAGUGCUUCGCAGAGCUGGUUUGUGUUUUGCCAGAAAGCACACUGACAAAUUUCCUCUGUGUUGUUUUCAGCUGAAAUAUGAUAUUCUUGUGCGACUCCAUCUCUUACCCUGCUGCCACGUUUCCCAGAAGUGUCUGUAUGUGUGUCCAGUGUGACUAGUUCUGUCAAACACAAUCCCCUCUCCUACCUUCACGGCUGUUUUCUACCUCAAGGGCCCUGGGCUAUAGCCUGCCCCAACAUUUAGCAGAGAAACACGAAGAACGAGCUUUUCCAGGGGCUAUUAAGCUUACUUUGAAGUAAAUGGAGAGAGGAAAUUACCCAAGCCUUCUGCUGGUUUUAAGCAACAAUCAGAUUUGGGACUCUGGCACAGAAAGGGCUUUUAUUAUAAUAUAAAUGCUUCCUGUGCAUCCCAGUGUAACUCAAGGCAAGGUUGCACACAAAACAGAAAGAGGGUUUGUUUGUUUUUCUGGAUAGUGCCAUGGGGCAGCUUCAGGAAUGGGUCCAUGGAAGAAGAAGAAGAGGAGGAGGAGGAGGAAUUUAUUUGUACCCCGCUCAUCUGGCUGGGUUUCCCCAGCCGCUCUGGGCGGCUUCCAACAAAGGUUAAAAAUACAUUAAAAUUUCACACAUUAAAAACUUCCCUAAACAGGGCUGCCUUCAGAUGUCUUCUAAAUCAGGUAGUUGUUUAUCUCUUUGACAUGUGAUGGGAGGGCGAGAUUUGCACAUGGGGACUUAGUUCUCUGUUUGUAUGACUUAUAUAAGUCAGCCUAGCCAAAUGCCAAAAACAGUAUUGAUCUGAGGGUGUAUUUACAAUUUUUGUAUCUUCCAGUUACAAGCCAAAUAAAGACUAAGACAAAGGC